rnacentral:rRNA from 1 species
AGUUAACGUUGGCGGCGUGCCUAACACAUGCAAGUCGAACGCGUCCUAAGGGCAACUUUAGGAUGAGUGGCGAACGGGUGAGUAUCACGUGGGUAAUCUUCCUUUAAGUGGGGAAUAAGCUCUCGAAAGGGAGUCUAAUACCGCAUGACAUUCCGGGACACAAGUCCCGUAAUCAAAGCCGCAAGGCGCUUGAAGAUGAGCCUGCGUCCUAUUAGCUAGUUGGUGGGGUAACGGCCUACCAAGGCUCAGAUGGGUAGCCGGCCUGAGAGGGUGAACGGCCACACUGGGACUGAGACACGGCCCAGACUCCUACGGGAGGCAGCAGUGAGGAAUUUGCGCAAUGGGGGAAACCCUGACGCAGCGACGCCGCGUGGAGGAUGAAGGCCUUCGGGUCGUAAACUCCUGUCAGAGGUGAAGAAUGCCCGCAAGGGUUUGACGGUAACCUCAGAGGAAGCCCCGGCUAACUACGUGCCAGCAGCCGCGGUAAGAGUCACGUCG